rnacentral:rRNA from 1 species
UACGAAGGGGGCUAGCGUUGCUCGGAAUUACUGGGCGUAAAGGGAGCGUAAGCGGGUUAUCAAGUUGGGGGUGAAAGCCCGGGGCUCAACCUCGGAAUUGCCUUCAAAACUGAUAACCUGGAGUAUGGAAGAGGUAAGUGGAACUCCGAGUGUAGAGGUGAAAUUCGUAGAUACUCGGAAGAACACCAGUGGCGAAGGCGACUUACUGGUCCAUUACUGACGCUGAGGCUCGAAAGCGUGGGGAGCAAACAGG